rnacentral:rRNA from 1 species
GAUUGGUGCUUGCAUCAUGAUUUACAUUUGAGUGAGUGGCGAACUGGUGAGUAACACGUGGGAAACCUGCCCAGAAGCGGGGGAUAACACCUGGAAACAGAUGCUAAUACCGCAUAACAACUUGGACCGCAUGGUCCGAGUUUGAAAGAUGGCUUCGGCUAUCACUUUUGGAUGGUCCCGCGGCGUAUUAGCUAGAUGGUGGGGUAACGGCUCACCAUGGCAAUGAUACGUAGCCGACCUGAGAGGGUAAUCGGCCACAUUGGGACUGAGACACGGCCCAAACUCCUACGGGAGGCAGCAGUAGGGAAUCUUCCACAAUGGACGAAAGUCUGAUGGAGCAACGCCGCGUGAGUGAAGAAGGGUUUCGGCUCGUAAAACUCUGUUGUUAAAGAAGAACAUAUCUGAGAGUAACUGUUCAGGUAUUGACGGUAUUUAACCAGAAAGCCACGGCUAACUACGUGCCAGCAGCCGCGGUAAUACGUAGGUGGCAAGCGUUGUCCGGAUUUAUUGGGCGUAAAGCGAGCGCAGGCGGUUUUUUAAGUCUGAUGUGAAAGCCUUCGGCUCAACCGAAGAAGUGCAUCGGAAACUGGGAAACUUGAGUGCAGAAGAGGACAGUGGAACUCCAUGUGUAGCGGUGAAAUGCGUAGAUAUAUGGAAGAACACCAGUGGCGAAGGCGGCUGUCUGGUCUGUAACUGACGCUGAGGCUCGAAAGUAUGGGUAGCAAACAGGAUUAGAUACCCUGGUAGUCCAUACCGUAAACGAUGAAUGCUAAGUGUUGGAGGGUUUCCGCCCUUCAGUGCUGCAGCUAACGCAUUAAGCAUUCCGCCUGGGGAGUACGGCCGCAAGGCUGAAACUCAAAGGAAUUGACGGGGGCCCGCACAAGCGGUGGAGCAUGUGGUUUAAUUCGAAGCUACGCGAAGAACCUUACCAGGUCUUGACAUACUAUGCAAAUCUAAGAGAUUAGACGUUCCCUUCGGGGACAUGGAUACAGGUGGUGCAUGGUUGUCGUCAGCUCGUGUCGUGAGAUGUUGGGUUAAGUCCCGCAACGAGCGCAACCCUUAUUAUCAGUUGCCAGCAUUAAGUUGGGCACUCUGGUGAGACUGCCGGUGACAAACCGGAGGAAGGUGGGGAUGACGUCAAAUCAUCAUGCCCCUUAUGACCUGGGCUACACACGUGCUACAAUGGAUGGUACAACGAGUUGCGAACUCGCGAGAGUAAGCUAAUCUCUUAAAGCCAUUCUCAGUUCGGAUUGUAGGCUGCAACUCGCCUACAUGAAGUCGGAAUCGCUAGUAAUCGCGGAUCAGCAUGCCGCGGUGAAUACGUUCCCGGGCCUUGUACACACCGCCCGUCACACCAUGAGAGUUUGUAACACCCAAAGUCGGUGGGGUAACCUUUUAGGAACCAGCCGCCUAAGGUGGGACAGAU